GAUGAACGCUGGCGGCGUGCUUAACACAUGCAAGUCGAACGGAAAGGCCCAAGCUUGCUUGGGUACUCGAGUGGCGAACGGGUGAGUAACACGUGGGUGAUCUGCCCUGCACUUCGGGAUAAGCCUGGGAAACUGGGUCUAAUACCGGAUAGGACCACUUCUUGGAUGUUGUGGUGGAAAGUUUUUUCGGUGUGGGAUGAGCUCGCGGCCUAUCAGCUUGUUGGUGGGGUAAUGGCCUACCAAGGCGUCGACGGGUAGCCGGCCUGGGAGGGUGUACGGCCACAUUGGGACUGAGAUACGGCCCAGACUCCUACGGGAGGCAGCAGUGGGGAAGAUUGCACAAUGGGCGCAAGCCUGAUGCAGCGACGCCGCGUGGGGGAUGACGGCCUUCGGGUUGUAAACUCCUUUCGCUAGGGACGAAGCGUUUUGUGACGGUACCUGGAGAAGAAGCACCGGCUAACUACGUG
rnacentral:rRNA from 1 species